AACGAACGCUGGCGGCAUGCCUAACACAUGCAAGUCGAACGAGAUCUUCGGGUCUAGUGGCGCACGGGUGCGUAACGCGUGGGAAUCUGCCCUUUGGUUCGGAAUAACAGUUGGAAACGACUGCUAAUACCGGAUGAUGACGAAAGUCCAAAGAUUUAUCGCCAGAGGAUGAGCCCGCGUAGGAUUAGCUAGUUGGUGUGGUAAAGGCGCACCAAGGCGACGAUCCUUAGCUGGUCUGAGAGGAUGAUCAGCCACACUGGGACUGAGACACGGCCCAGACUCCUACGGGAGGCAGCAGUGGGGAAGAUUGGACAAUGGGCGAAAGCCUGAUCCAGCAAUGCCGCGUGAGUGAUGAAGGCCUUAGGGUUGUAAAGCUCUUUUACCCGGGAUGACAAUGGCAGUACCGGGAGAAUAAGCUCCGGCUAACUCCGUGCCAGCAGCCGCCGUAA
rnacentral:rRNA from 1 species